AUUCCAGUCGAUGCUGCUGGAGGACACUGCUAUCAGAUUUCGACAGCCAUGCAAGUUAGCUCAAAGGCAUCUUUGGGCAGCGUACGGCUCAGUAACACGUAGUUAAUCUAACGUAAAGAAAGGGAUAACCUUGGGAAACUGAGGCUAAUACCUUAUAGAUUAAGACAUCUGGAAGGAGUUUUAAUCGAAAGGAGCAUGAAUUGGAGUGUUUCCGCUUUACGAUGAGACUGCGGCGGAUCAGGCAGAUGGCGGGGUAAUGGCCCACCAUACCUAUAACCCGUAGGGGAUGUGGGAGCAUAAGCCCCGAGAAGGGCACUGAGGCAAGGGCCCUAGCGCUACGGCGUGCAGCAGGCGCGCAAACUCCACAAUGUGCGAAAGCAUGAUGGGGGGAAUCUGAGUGGUUUACGAAAGUAAAUCUUUUGCCAAGUAUAGCAAGCUUGGCGAAUAAGUGCUGGGCAAGACGAGUGGCAGCCGCCACGGUAAUACUCGCAGCACAAGUGGUGUCCACGAUUAUUGGGCUUAAAGCGCUCGUAGCCGGUCAAUGCCGUCUUAUGUGAAAUAUUGGUGCUCAACAUCAAUGCGUGCAUGAGAUACCCAUUGACUAGGGAGCGGGUGAGGUCAAGAGUACUUAUAGGGGAGGGGUAAAAUCCUGUAAUCCUAUAAGGACUAACGGUGGCGAAGGCGCUUGACCAGAACGCAUCCGACGGUGAGGAGCGAAGGCUAGGAGAACGAAUCGGAUCAGAUACCCGAGUAGCCCUAGCAGUAAAUUAUGCAGACUCUGGUGUUGCAAGUAUCUUGAAUGCUUGCAGUACCGUAGCAAAAGCGUUAAGUCUGCCGCCUGGGGAGUACGGUCGCAAGAUUAAAACUUAAAGCAAUUGGCGGGGGAGCACACAAGGGGUGGAUGCUACGGUUUAAUUGAAUCCAACGUCGGAAAUAUUACCGGGAGCGACGGCAGUGUGAAGGCCAGACUAAAGAUCUUACCUGACAAGCCGAGAGGUAGUGCAUGGCGACCGUCAGCUCGUGGUGUGAACUGUCCGGUUAAGUCCGGUAACGAGCGAGACUUUUGUCAACAGUUGCCACCAGCUUAGAGAUAGGUUGAGCACUCUGUUGAGACCGCCUCUGUUUAAAGAGGAGGAAGGAGAGAGCGACGAUACGUCAGUAUGCUCCGAAUCUCCCGGGCUACACGCGGCAUACAAAGAUCAGCACAAUGGGACGCAAUGCCGAAAGGCAAAGCAAAUCCCCUAAAACUGACCUAAGUUCGGAUUGAGGGCUGCAACUCGCCCUCAUGAAGAUGGAAUCCCUAGUAAUCGCUUGUCACUAUCGAGCGGUGAAUUUGUCCCUGCUCCUUGCACACACUGCCUACCAAGUCACCCAAGUGAGGUUUUAACGAGGCGAUGCCAUUAGGCAUUUUCGAGUUAGGGUUUCGCGAGGAGGGCUAAGGUAUAACAAGGUAUCCGUAGGGGAACCUGCGGAUAGAUCACCUCAA
rnacentral:rRNA from 1 species